UACCCAACAUGACAUGGAAAACAUUUGAAAAUCUCAAUUAUUUUAGGAAUUUGAAUAUCGUCACUUAUUAAAUCGAAACCCUACAUAUGAAUUUCGUGUAUUCUUGAUUUUUAUGAAAUAAAUAUGGUUGGGGAACCCUUAACUCCCAUCGACCUUCCUUGGUGGACCCUAAAAAGUCACUAAGGAUGUGUCCGUCUUUACCAAAAAAAAAAAAAAAAAAAACCCUACAUAUGAAUUUUCCCUCAACUUCAAAUUGCAACCACUCAUAACACAAAUAAAACACAAACUAUUCAAAACAUUUAAAUCUUAAAAAUGAAAAUGAUAUUUACCCGAUGUAAACUUGGAGCCAAAUACGAGCUGUAGGAUAUUGAACUUGAAAUAUACUCCGACUAGGUAUGGUUAUCGAUCAUGAGAUGGGGAAGUGGUUAUUGUGGGGCGUAAAUUCUUCAAAUUCUUCUUCACCAUUUUGUGUGAAAUGAGUUUAGGAAGUGGGUUUGCAAAAUUGGGAUAGGUACAAAAUUGCAAAAUGGGUUUAAAAAGUGGGGGGUGUGGUUUUAUGUGAU
rnacentral:lncRNA from 1 species